AGAUUGAACGCUGGCGGAAUGCUUUACACAUGCAAGUCGAACGGCAGCACGGGACUCAGGCAACUGAGCCCUGGUGGCGAGUGGCGAACGGGUGAGUAACAUAUCGGAACGUACCCAGUCGUGGGGGAUAACUCUCCGAAAGGAGAGCUAAUACCGCAUACGUCCUGAGGGAGAAAGCGGGGGACCUAAGGGUAACUGAGGGCCUCGCGCGAUUGGAGCGGCCGAUAUCGGAUUAGCUAGUUGGUGAGGUAAAGGCUCACCAAGGCGACGAUCCGUAGCGGGUCUGAGAGGACGACCCGCCACACUGGAACUGAGACACGGUCCAGACUCCUACGGGAGGCAGCAGUGGGAAUUUUGGACAAUGGGGGCAACCCUGAUCCAGCCAUUCCGCGUGAGUGAAGAAGGCCUUCGGUUGUAAAGCUCUUUCAGCAGGAACGAAACGGUGGUCGUUAAUACGGCCUACUUAAUGACGGUACCUGCAGAAGAAGCACCGCUAACUACGUGCAGCAGCCG
rnacentral:rRNA from 1 species